UAAACAAAAAUAAAAAUAGAAAUACGUUUGACAAAAAACAUGAAAUAUAAAUUGAGUUAAUAAUACAUGUAGUCACAUAUCAAAACCUGUAUGUUUAGUGAUUAUUGACCAUGCACCAGAAGCAGCAUCACAUCCAUUAUAGAAAAAACAACUUUGAGUUAAGUCCUUCCUCGUGGCUGAUGCAUAUGAGCAAAUAGUAUUGUUGUUCAUAUGCAGGAGUCACCAAGGACAGGUGCUUAAAGGACACUCAAGCCUCUUCACAGAAAUCUGAAAAAUUUAAACAUUUUACAACACAAGCAUAAACUAAUACUUAAAAAAGAAUAACUAUAUUAUAGUCCUCCUUGUGGCUGAAGCACAUAAAUAAGAUUAAUAUGUAGUUAUCCAAAUGCAGGAGCCACCAAGGGUAGGUGCUUAAAGGACAUAGUAAUAUAUUGUGUAAAAUUUCUGUGUAAAAAUAUUUGGAUUUGGAUGCAGCCUCUAGUACAAC
rnacentral:lncRNA from 1 species